AAGGCUAUGUGUAACUGGCGAAAGCGGAUAACCGUAGGGGAGCACAUAGUAUCGAAAAGCCGUUCGCCUGGGCAGAGGUA
rnacentral:ncRNA from 2 species